UACAGAGGGAGCUAGCGUUGUUCGGAAUUACUGGGCGUAAAGCGCGCGUAGGCGGCUUUGUAAGUUAGAGGUGAAAGCCCGGGGCUCAACCCCGGAAUUGCCUUUAAGACUGCAUCGCUUGAAUCCGGGAGAGGUGAGUGGAAUUCCGAGUGUAGAGGUGAAAUUCGUAGAUAUUCGGAAGAACACCAGUGGCGAAGGCGGCUCACUGGACCGGCAUUGACGCUGAGGUGCGAAAGCGUGGGGAGCAAACAGG
rnacentral:rRNA from 1 species